rnacentral:snRNA from 1 species
GUGCUCAUUUCAGCAGCACAUAUACUAAAAUUGGAACAAUACAGAGAUUAGCAUGGCCUCUGUGCAAGGAUGAGAAACAAAUUGAUAUAGUCCCAAUAGUUUAUU